AGCAGCCGCGGUAAUUCCAGCUCCAAUAGCGUAUAUUAAAGUUGUUGCAGUUAAAAAGCUCGUAGUUGAAUUUCGGGAUCAAUAUGUUGGUCGUGCCUUGGUACGUACUGGCAUUAUUGGUUUCUACCUUCUGAAGAACCUCGAUGUCAUUAAUUUGGUGUCUUGGGGAAUCAGGACUGUUACUUUGAAAAAUUAGAGUGUUUAAAGCAGGCUUUAGCUUGAAUACAUUAGCAUGGAAUAAUGAAAUAGGACGUUCGAACCUAUUUUGUUGGUUUCUAGGAUCAACGUAAUGAUUAAUAGGGAUAGUUGGGGGCAUUAGUAUUCAAUUGUCAGAGGUGAAAUUCUUGGAUUUAUUGAAGACUAACUACUGCGAAAGCAUUUGCCAAGGAUGUUUUCAUUAAUCAAGAACGAAAGUUAGGGGAUCGAAGACGAUCAGAUACCGUCGUAGUCUUAACCAUAAACUAUGCCGACUAGGGAUCGGAUGAUU
rnacentral:rRNA from 1 species